rnacentral:rRNA from 1 species
AGCGGCGGACGGGUGAGUAACACGUGGGUAACCUGCCUGUAAGACUGGGAUAACUCCGGGAAACCGGGGCUAAUACCGGAUGGUUGUUUGAACCGCAUGGUUCAAACAUAAAAGGUGGCUUCGGCUACCACUUACAGAUGGACCCGCGGCGCAUUAGCUAGUUGGUGAGGUAACGGCUCACCAAGGCAACGAUGCGUAGCCGACCUGAGAGGGUGAUCGGCCACACUGGGACUGAGACACGGCCCAGACUCCUACGGGAGGCAGCAGUAGGGAAUCUUCCGCAAUGGACGAAAGUCUGACGGAGCAACGCCGCGUGAGUGAUGAAGGUUUUCGGAUCGUAAAGCUCUGUUGUUAGGGAAGAACAAGUACCGUUCGAAUAGGGCGGUACCUUGACGGUACCUAACCAGAAAGCCACGGCUAACUACGUGCCAGCAGCCGCGGUAAUACGUAGGUGGCAAGCGUUGUCCGGAAUUAUUGGGCGUAAAGGGCUCGCAGGCGGUUUCUUAAGUCUGAUGUGAAAGCCCCCGGCUCAACCGGGGAGGGUCAUUGGAAACUGGGGAACUUGAGUGCAGAAGAGGAGAGUGGAAUUCCACGUGUAGCGGUGAAAUGCGUAGAGAUGUGGAGGAACACCAGUGGCGAAGGCGACUCUCUGGUCUGUAACUGACGCUGAGGAGCGAAAGCGUGGGGAGCGAACAGGAUUAGAAUCCCUGGUAGUCCACGCCGUAAACGAUGAGUGCUAAGUGUUAGGGGGUUUCCGCCCCUUAGUGCUGCAGCUAACGCAUUAAGCACUCCGCCUGGGGAGUACGGUCGCAAGACUGAAACUCAAAGGAAUUGACGGGGGCCCGCACAAGCGGGGAACAUGUGGAGCAUGUGGUUUAAUUCGAAGCAACGCGAAGAACCUUACCAGGUCUUGACAUCCUCUGACAAUCCUAGAGAUAGGACGUCCCCUUCGGGGGCAGAGUGACAGGUGGUGCAUGGUUGUCGUCAGCUCGUGUCGUGAGAUGUUGGGUUAAGUCCCGCAACGAGCGCAACCCUUGAUCUUAGUUGCCAGCAUUCAGUUGGGCACUCUAAGGUGACUGCCGGUGACAAACCGGAGGAAGGUGGGGAUGACGUCAAAUCAUCAUGCCCCUUAUGACCUGGGCUACACACGUGCUACAAUGGACAGAACAAAGGGCAGCGAAACCGCGAGGUUAAGCCAAUCCCACAAAUCUGUUCUCAGUUCGGAUCGCAGUCUGCAACUCGACUGCGUGAAGCUGGAAUCGCUAGUAAUCGCGGAUCAGCAUGCCGCGGUGAAUACGUUCCCGGGCCUUGUACACACCGCCCGUCACACCACGAGAGUUUGUAACACCCGAAGUCGGUGAGGUAACCUUUUAGGAGC